AGAUUACCGUGACUCAUUCAAAGGUCUUGGGGAAGUGUCAGUGAUGACUGCUGCCAAAAACUGGGUUGGAUUUGUAUGAAGCUUCGGGACAGGGUAAUCCAGCUGAUCCAGUGCGAUGACUUUGACAUGUAAUAGACCAAGGAAUUCAUUUGUGUCAGGGUAUGGAGCCUUCAGCUUGGACUGUGAAGUAAAUUAAAAGAUUAGAGGUGUAGGGAACUCAUGCAGGCUAAACCAAAGAGGAGAAGGCAAAGCUGACCAAGCCAUCAGACCACGCCUGAUGCUGACAGCGGUGAAAUAUACCUCGUGGGCGACUCGGUAACGUCUGACAACCUUCAAAGAAAGGAGAAAACAAAAAGUUGUAGGAGAGGAAAAAAAA
rnacentral:lncRNA from 1 species